GGUGUUGUUAACCACUCGUUUUCUUCAACAUGAACAUCAUCUUGGUCGGCCUAUUAACCAAAAUCUAGGUAGCCUUUUGAUGGAUUUCCUGUAUUGUUUGUGUGAAUGUGUUUGAUCCACGCCAUAUGCGUAUUUCCAUCCAAAGUAGAUGAAUUUAUUUGAACCGAGAAAGAGGGCACAGUUGAUUUUGCAGGAUUGAUCCAAUUCACAUCGAUGAUCCUCUUUGCCCUGCUAACAAUGUGGGCAGGAAUUGUUUCCGGGUCCACCAAUGCAUCAAGGCUUUUGCUGAUGCUUUUGCUGUUCUAGAAAACGAGCUACUGCAGUUCAGUGCAGAAUGUAACAUGCCUGCAUCAUCAUUUAGCCUACUGAAGGAAAUAAUUCCAAGUAUUGAUUCUAAUGAGUUGUAGCAAUGGAAAGAGCCUGUGAUUCCACAAGCUACAGGAACUGUUGGGUUGGAAUGGCCUCUGCUGUGUCUAGACACCGAGUUACUUACUGCAGCUGGUGGAAAAGGCUUGUUCGAAGGUACAAUGCCAGCUGCCCUUCUCUCGCCUCUGGCUGCUUAGAACCCGAGACCGUUGAUUGAGGUAUUAGGCCGAAUUGGAUGCAAGAGCAAGAUGGUGCUGCACUCUGCACACAGAAGAUCCUUAACCUCGUGCCGGUGGUAUGUGCUGCCAAGGAUGCGGAAAUGGAAUCGCCUAAUGACGUGUGCUGCCAGACCUAUAAGGUCACUGAGGAGCAGUACAGCAGGUCCGCACAGAACUCCAGAUCCGGAGGAGCACUCGGGAUAAGCUCUAGCAGAGGCUCUACAUGUUUCCUGAAUCAUCUGUUCUCUGAACCUUAGGAAAUGCCUAAGGAAAAUCAGAACAUCCUGGAACAAGUUCUUUGUGCUUUUGGCAGUCAACAUCAGCUUGUGGAACAGGAAAUGGAGAAAUUCUACGAAGGAGGCUACCUGUGUUCGGAAACAGAGUAGGAAGCAACUCCUACUUGGAGCUGGUACAAGGCUUGAUACUGGAAGUGGUGUCCGGUGUAGCAAAGCGAUUUUCAGAUCGUCGUUUCUCCGGAACAGCAAGAUUGUUCCUUGAACACACCAAGAGGGUAACUGCCAUGAUUACUGCCGUGAUCUCGAGUACCAGAUUCUUCGUUGCAGUUACUCGCCAAUGGGAUUGCCGAGCUACUCUUCAGUUACAGUCAGAGCAAUCUUUAUGGCAUCAGGGACAUGGUCAGGUGACGGCGUUGGCUCGUCUUAUAAAGGCAGACUUCGUUUCCUGCAGCUGAUGAGAUUCAAGUUGCUGCUUUUGUAGCGAAGCACACUUCGGUUCCUGCUUUUGUAGCGAAGCAGAUUUAAGUUACCGCUUUUGUAGUUUACUCCAACACAAAUUUGAAACUAGCAUGUUCUUGAUUUGUUGCGCUGAUGUAGUGAUGUUCUUGCGCUUUCUUUCUUGUGCAAGUAUCGAUUUUUGCUUUCUCUGUCACAAGCUAUUCUCAGAACUAAGAAUUCUUUACAAAAUUACACAUGUAGUAGAUGUUAAUGUGAUAUGUACACUUUGCAUUUCUUCCUUCUAAAGUAACUAGUAAAUGUGUAGAUGCAAUGCACGUUAAUAUUAGGCAGUAUAUUAAUUGCGCGGAUAUUAGGUAGGAUAUUAUUUACGUGUUAAUUAUAUGUUUAGCACAAUAUAUGGUAUGGUAUUAAUUACACGCUAAACGUGUUGAGCUCUCGACAUUAGAGCAGUCUAGGUCGUUGGAUUGACUUGGGUUGACGGCCAAGAUUAGUUGGAUCUGCCACUUUGGGUCUUUUUAUAUUGGUAUAGAUAUAGAUAUAGAUACACAUUUUGUGUGACAAGAGGACAUUCGUGGUGGGCUAACAAGGCCACUUUCUGUGCACAAGGCCACUUUCUGUGCACAAAUUUAUUUCCUGUCAUUCACUAGCAAUAAAAAUGCAUUAUGUUGCACCAUUUUUCUUUCUUGUUGCAAAUGUGGACAUUACCAGUUAGAAGUCCAUUUCAAACUAACAACCCUUAAACUCACUUUGGUUUAAAAUCUUUGAGAUACUAAGCUCCCUCUAUUUGAGCAUGUUCUACAAGGCAUUGCUUAGUUUUUAGUUUUUUAUUACUUUAUUUCUCUUUUGGUUUUAAUAUUCUUUUUUAUUUUUUAUUUUGAUUUUUUUGACAUUUGUAUUCAUGAUUUUUUUAAAAAAUCAUGACAUUUUGAUUUGGAAUCUACACUUUUUUAACUUAAUUACUGUAUCCUGUUUCUGUGAGAUAUUUGUUUCUGUAUAAUAUAUUCUAUUUUAAUGAUCGGCUCACAUGAAUGUAGAUAUUUGGCCAGCUUUGAGUUUCAAACUUCAGUAGUCGCAAUGGAAAAAUAAAAAUUUAUCCCUUGCCCCUCUUCUUAGCAAGUUCAUAUUUUUAUUUGAAAUUGCCACUUAUGCUACAUUUUUGCUGUUUUGUAUUUGGCAGAAUCUAGGUAGCCUUUUGAUGGAUUUCCUGUAUUGUUUGUGUGUAAGUGAGUAUGCAUGAACACUUUAUUGUUUAAAACACAAGGGAAAAGAUGAGUGCCUGAUGUGGAAAAAGCGUGUAAAGUAUGCUAGAAUGACUAGGACCCUUAUGUAUGGUUUCUCUUUUGGGAUAGCUAAAUUAGCAAUAUAUUGGUGCGUCUGACAUCUAACCGCUUUCAAACAUUCUGGAUGACAGGAAUGUGUUUGAUCCACACCAUAAGCGUAUUUCCAUCCAAAGAGGAAUUUAUUUGAACCGAGAAAGAGGGCACAGGAUUGAUCCAAUUCACAUCGAUGAUCCUCUUUUCCCUGCUAACAUUAUGGGCCGGAAUUGUUUCCGGGUCCACCACUGCGCCAAGGUUGGCUCAAAUUAUCUUUUCUGGACUGGUUGAAUCCUUCUGUUCUUGUCUAGAGCUUUUGGAGUUGUGGCAAUGCUGUGAUUAUGCUCUUUUAUCUGAUAUAUAUUUGAUCCUUAACCUCCUGGCGGUGGUAUGUGGUGCCAAGGAUGCGACAUGGGCAUGGACACGGUCAUGGAGGAGCAGUACGAGCAGACCCGCACAGAACGCCUGACCCGGAGGAGCGCACAGGAUAAGCUCUAGCAGAGGCUCUGCAUGUUUUCUGAAUCAUCUGUUCUCUGAACCUUAGAAAACCGCUGAAGAAAACAGGAACUAUAUCCGUAUGGAGGGCCAAGUCCUUCGUGCUUUUGGCAGUCUGCAUGAGCUUGUGGAACAGGAAAUGGAGAAUUGCUAUGGAGGAGGCUACCUGACUUGAUGCUGGAACUGGUGACCGGUAUUGGCGGAGCAAAUUUCGAAAUAGAUGUUUCUUCCGAAGAGCAAGAUUGUUCCUUGAACACACCAAAAGGGUAGCUGUGAAGAUUACUGCCAGGAUCUGAGUGUCAGAUUCUUCGUUGAAGUUACCCGCAGUGCGAUUGCUGAGUUGGUCUCUUUGAGAAACAAGUCAGGGCAAGUUUAUUGAUAUGAUGUGCAAAAUUACAAGCACGAUGAACACCACACCAUGCAGAGCAUCAGGAAGAUGAACAGGCGAAGCUUCAGGCGAUGACUGACAAGGUUGGUCUGUCUUACAAAAACAGGCUUCAGUUCCUUCGACUGAUGAGAUUCAAGUUACCAUAGCUUUUGUAGUGAAAGCAGACUUCGGUUCCUGCAGUUGAUUGGGUUUAAGUUACCGCCGCUUUUCUUGUGUACUACCAACACUAAUUCAUCACUAGCACGUUGUUGAUUCACCGCGGUGAUGUUCUUCUGUUUCUUUCCUGUGCAAGUAACCAUUAAUACUACGUAUUAUCGAAGUACCUUCAUUGA